GCACUCUAUUCACUGUGCCACAUAGCUGCCUGAUAUGCCACAUAACACAUAUAAAGUUGAUAAAAGGCAACAUGUGGUAAGGGUAAACAAAGUGUUCUUGAGGAGAAAUGACUUUUAACUGAGCCUUCAAACUUUUAUAGAGGAAGUGAUGCCUGAGCAGAGCUUUAAAGAAAAAGAUUUUUCAAUAGGAAAAAAAUGAGUGGAAAGGAGAAGAUAAAUAAAAACCCAAAUGUCCCUGGAAGACUUUUCCAGUCCCCUCCAACAGUAACAGCCACCCUCAACCAGGCAGGAUGAUGUCAUCAGCUCCCUCAUAAUGGCUAGGUUGGGGAGUGGAGGAUGACCUAACAGAAGGACUUAUUGUAAGCAAAGCCUCCAAGAGUGAGAUACCCAGGACUACAGGCACAGACAACAGGAGGUACCGGCACUCGCCCCACGGAAAGGUCGACCUCAGCAUAGAGCCAACAUCAAGGAGUAGGGCUGUGACCAAACAUAUUCCAAAGCUGGGGGCAGUGUGUCAGUUACCAAUGGAAAAAUCAUCUGGUUCCUCGCCUUCUGAGAGGCUCAGAAAUCACCACUCUGAGAGAAGAGGGAACCAAGGUAGCAGUGGAAGGCACGCCAGCUACGACUCUAGUAACCAACAGCAGACGCCGAGGAAAUGCCGGGGGGGCACAUCCUAUUCCCAGAAACAAACCGAGGAGAGACAGACCAUAAACAGCAGAUUGGGGGACCAAUCCAAUCAAUCUGAACAGGAGACAGUAGAACUCAUGCCUACAAAGAGACCUCGACAUCAUUACACCGGAACAUCAGGAUCGAGAAGGAAAGGCAGGCACAGCACUUCGCACAAGAGAAGUUCCAAGAAAAGGUCAAAAGGGAGAGGCCAAAAAUAG
rnacentral:lncRNA from 1 species